ACCAAUAGAUCUCUCAGAACUGGAAGCUGAUGAGGCAGAAGGUGCUGAGCUCAGAGACGUGAGCCACGGUGCUAGUCUGGCUGGACAUAGAGCACAAGGCAGCUCCUUACUGUAAAGAAUGAUUUGGUCCAAGGUGUCGGUGGUGUUGAAUCUUUGAGCGACUGUAUUGACGUUAGAGCGUUGCUUUGUCUCCCUGCUUGGCUUUUAUCUCUGUUGCAUCAGUGGCACAUCUGCGGCCCCACCAGGAAAUGAAGAUGGAGAUAGAAGAACAAUGGCAUCCACUCCAGAACUGUUUAUACGUCACUGAAAAUAAGACAUCUGAACUUAAAACCAUCGGGCACUUUGCAUUAUCACCUACCACCAUGAUAACUCCUUUUCAGAUUUCAAAUGUCCCCUUCUUAGGUCUCAUGCGUGGCAGAAUCGAGGAAUUUAUCGGCUCCACACCCUUUUUCUCCAGGCCCAGGUAUUUUUUUCAAUCAGGUGACACUGUUGCUCCAUUUCAACAAAGUAUGAUUUAAACACUUCAGGACAUUAACAAUCAAUAGAGGACAAAUGUGACCAUUAGGAGGCUGAGACAAGGUGCUGAUGAAGUGCUUGUAACAGCAGAUUAUCCAUUAGGAUAAUGGCAUGCCUUGUGGGAACUAAAGCACAGCACAAAGCUUAUUAAAGACUUCAAACAUCUGCCAUCAGAGGAGAGGAUUUUUUGAAACUAGUGGUUUAGAAGAGGCAGAGGUGGCUUGUUAAGAAAAAGAAGAGGAGGUAGAACCACAGGAAAGGAAGAGGAAGAGGAAGAGGAAGAGGAAGAGGAAGAGGAAGAGGAGGAGAAUCUGGCUGCUCAAAGCAGCCAGGAUAGGAAUGAGAGACCAGCAACAAACCCCACUAUGGAGUCUUGUCAAGAAGAGUUGCUUUAACAAGGAGAAUUGCUGAAGCCGACUGGAUUAGUUACCAAGGGACCUGCCAGAUACAGAGUCCAUGGUUUUAGGAACUUGUACACAGCAUAUGUAUUACAAAGAGAGUUCUGUGAGAAGCCCAGCUACAGAAGCAUCUCUGCUCACUGACACUGGAGAAUUCGCGCAGAGGAAAGGAAUGCUCACUAGAAGGAAUGCAGUUUUAGACAAACCGGAACUUUGGACCUCUUACCACACUGUAUAUUCACACAGAACAUUAUAGAAAUUUUAUGAAGAGCUGAGACAACAAAGGGAUCUUUUCUAACUCCAGUCUUGGGCCCAUGGUGGG
rnacentral:lncRNA from 1 species